AGAAUCAACGCUGGCGGCGUGCCUAACACAUGCAAGUCGCACGAGAAAGGGUAGCAAUACCUGAGUACAGUGGCGCACGGGUGAGUAACACGUGAAUAAUCUACCUCCGAGUGGGGAAUAACCUAGGGAACCUGGGCUAAUACCGCAUAACACUUACGAGUCAAAGCAGCAAUGCGCUUGGAGAGGAGUUCGCGGCAGAUUAGCUAGUUGGUGGGGUAAUGGCCCACCAAGGCGAUGAUCUGUA
rnacentral:rRNA from 1 species